GGUGAAUCUAUCUAUGGCUGGGACAAGAGAGAGCUUUCCUGAUUCUUGAUGAUACAGAGAAUGCAGCUACGUCUGCAGAUUAGAUAUUUUUCCCAAUGAGAGAGCGUUUUAUCUGAAGUAUCAAACUGCUGAUGGAAUAUGUAAGGCAAGGUUUACAUAUGAAACUGUCUCUACUUUUGGGUAACACACAACGAUAAGUAUUAAGGAAGAUGCACAUGAUGAUAAGAGCAAAGGGAGCUGAUUCAUCUUGCUACUCAGCUGAUUCAUCUUUGGAACCUGAUGGACACUCCUGAUGAAGAAAGGGAGCUGUUUGAUCACUUUACUUGUAAUCAUAUGAAAUAUAUAUAUGUUAGCUUCGGUCAAUUUAAUUUUAUUACCAAACUACAGUAGUUGUUGUGUUGCUGUAUUUGUAAAACUACAAUGCAAAUGCCAUAACUUUUAUGAAAAUGACUUUUG